rnacentral:rRNA from 1 species
GAUGAACGCUGGCGGCGUGCCUAAUACAUGCAAGUCGAACGAACAGACGAUGAGCUUGCGCCUCUGACGUGAGCGGCGCACGUGUGAGUAACGCGUGGAUAAUCUACCUAUAAUACGGGUAAAACUUCGGAAAACGGGAGCAUAUACCGUAGAAGAUAUUGAACCGCAGUGGUCAAUAGUGAAAGACGGCUGUUGGGGCAGGUAUAGAUGCAUCUCGGCCGGAUUAGCGGGUUGUUAAGUUAACGGGUUACGAAGGCAACGAGGCGUAGCCGACCUGAGAGGGUGAUAGGCCACACUGGAACUGAGACACGGUCAAGACUCCUGAGGGAGGCAGCAGUCGGGAAUCUUACGCAAUGGGCGAGAGCUUGACGGAGUAACGCCGCGUGAGUGAUGAAGGUCUUCGGAUCGUAAAACUCUGUUAUUAGGGAAGAACCAAUGUGUAAGUAACUAUGCCCGUAUUGACGGUAACUAAUCAGAAAGCAACGGCUAACUACGUG